UACGGGGGGGGCAAGCGUUGUUCGGAAUUACUGGGCGUAAAGGGCUCGUAGGCGGCCAACUAAGCCGGAUGUGAAAUCCCCAGGCUUAACCUGGGAACUGCAUCCGAUACUGGAUGGCUUGAAUCCGGGAGAGGGAUGCAGAAUUCCAGGUGUAGCGGUGAAAUGCGUAGAUAUCUGGAGGAAUACCGGUGGCGAAGGCGGCAUCCUGGACCGGCAUUGACGCUGAUGAGCGAAAGCUAGGGGAGCAAACGGG
rnacentral:rRNA from 1 species